rnacentral:rRNA from 1 species
UACAGAGGGCUCAAGCGUUGUUCGGAUUCAUUGGGCGUAAAGGGUGCGUAGGUGGUGUGGCAAGUCGGAUGUGAAAUCCCGGGGCUCAACCCCGGAACUGCAUUCGAUACUGCCUUGCUAGAGUACUGGAGAGGAGAUUGGAAUUUACGGUGUAGCAGUGAAAUGCGUAGAUAUCAGGAGGAACACCGGUGGCGAAGGCGGGUCUCUGGGCAGUAACUGACGCUGAGGAGCGAAAGCGUGGGGAGCGAACAGG